rnacentral:lncRNA from 1 species
GAAAAGAAACCAACGGUUCCGACCGUUCAUGGUUCGUGGUAUGCGAGUUCAACGGCGGUAGCCACGGCCGCGAUUCCUCAUCAACACCAAAUAUCUGACGGGGCUCGUAAUGCUCACAGAGAGGUACUUGAAUCACCGCAACAAUACAAAAGGACACCAAGCACCAGAAGCUACAGUAAAUAAAAUGUGAAGAUAAAAGAGAAACUCACCGAUG